CACCCAGCCAUCCUCCACCACCCACCACCCAGCCAUCCUCCACCACCCAGCCAUGCAAAGACCAGAUGACCACUGGUUCCCAGCGGUCCUCAACCUCCUCGCUCAGGUCAUUGCUGGUUGGAAAACCAUGCCCCUCCCAGAAUCUUGACAGGAAAAUAAGGAAGCUCAUGUCUCCUCGGAAGGUUCAGCCUAUUCUACUUUUCAGCCCUUCCAGCCUCUGAGCCUGAUGAUGGUGAGCUGCGUAUGGCAGCAGAGCAGCUUGAGUCAGACCUGCCAGUUGUGUCCAAAUAAAUGUCUCUAGAAAACAGCUUAAACAAAUGAAGCUACUGUUGUUAUUCUGACUGCACUUUUUGACAUGACUAAGUUAGCCAUAGUUGACUAAGUUAGCCAUAGUUGGCUAGCUAUCAAGGGAUAAGAAUGUUGCCAGCCAGUAUGGCAAUGGAACAUUAAGAACGAACGACUGGGUGGCGUCCAUAGAUACAGAACAAAAAGACUGAACGACUGGGUCGCGUCUUUGGCAACCGAACGACCAGCCAGCUUGGGUAGUAAACCCUAGCCGGCUUGGGUAGUAACCCUAGAUUUGUGUCGGGACUAUAUCUUGUGGAAGGAUGAAUUAGUAUGAAUAAAUUCAUCAAAAUAACA